CAUACACCGAGCAGCGGACUCUG
rnacentral:piRNA from 1 species